rnacentral:rRNA from 1 species
CCUACGGGAGGCAGCAGUAAGGAAUAUUGGUCAAUGGACGCAAGUCUGAACCAGCCAUGCCGCGUGGAGGAUGAAGGCCCUCUGGGUUGUAAACUUCUUUUAUCUGGGACGAAAAAAGGUUUUUCUAAAUCGUCUGACGGUACCAGAUGAAUAAGCACCGGCUAACUCCGUGCCAGCAGCCGCGGUAAUACGGAGGGUGCAAGCGUUAUCCGGAUUCACUGGGUUUAAAGGGUGCGUAGGCGGGCAGGUAAGUCAGUGGUGAAAUCCUUGAGCUUAACUCGAGAACUGCCAUUGAUACUAUCUGUCUUGAAUAUUGUGGAGGUGAGCGGAAUAUGUCAUGUAGCGGUGAAAUGCUUAGAUAUGACAUAGAACACCCAUUGCGAAGGCAGCUCACUACGCAUAUAUUGACGCUGAUGCACGAAAGCGUGGGGAUCAAACAGGAUUAGAUACCCUGGUAGUCCACGCCCUAAACGAUGAUUACUCGACAUACGCGAUACACUGUGUGUGUCUGAGCGAAAGCAUUAAGUAAUCCACCUGGGAAGUACGAUCGCAAGAUUGAAACUCAAAGGAAUUGACGG